rnacentral:rRNA from 1 species
AGCAUGCAAGUCAGACGGGAUGUAGCAAUACAUUCAGUGGCGAACGGGUGAGUAACGCGUGGAUAAUCUACCUAUGAGAUGGGGAUAACUAUUAGAAAUAGUAGCUAAUACCGAAUAAGGUCAGUUGAGAUGUCAAUUGAUGAAAGGAAGCCUUUAAAGCUUCGCUUGUAGAUGAGUCUGCGUCUUAUUAGCUAGUUGGUAGGGUAAGAGCCUACCAAGGCUAUGAUAAGUAACCGGCCUGAGAGGGUGAACGGUCACACUGGAACUGAGAUACGGUCCAGACUCCUACGGGAGGCAGCAGCUAAGAAUCUUCCGCAAUGGGCGAAAGCCUGACGGAGCGACACUGCGUGAACGAAGAAGGUCGAAAGAUUGUAAAGUUCUUUUAUAAAUGAGGAAUAAGCUUUGUAGGAAAUGACAAGGUGAUGACGUUAAUUUAUGAAUAAGCCCCGGCUAAUUACGUGCCAGCAGCCGCGGUAAUACGUAAGGGGCGAGCGUUGUUCGGGAUUAUUGGGCGUAAAGGGUGAGUAGGCGGAUAUGCAAGUCUGUGCGUAAAAUACCACAGCUCAACUGUGGAGCUAUGCUAGAAACUGCAUGACUAGAGUCUGAUAGGGGAAGNUAGAAUUCCUGGU